rnacentral:lncRNA from 1 species
UACACAGCCCACCAAAGCGGAGUCACUUUAUAGAAUCUCAAUUCACAAAUCAACUGUCGUCUUCACUUCACUGAUUCAUUGCUGAUGGGCCCUUCACAAGGUAAAAAAAAAAAAAAAAAAAAAUCCCUUCCGAGUUGACAAGAGUAAGAAAUGGGAAGGUGAGCACUGCCCAUCCAUUCACUGGCCCGCUGACCCGCCUGUAGUGAUACAUGGCAGAAUAAACUCAUAAACCAGCCGCAUCUCUUGACCUCUCGGAAUAAAUGGAAACAGAAGAGGCUUGAUGAUGAUCAUUGUGUUUAAGGAUUAGGAUCUGAACAGAGGAUGAUAGAUACCCAAGGUGCACCUUGAAAACAGGAACCCAGGCCAGGCCACUGAGAGUCAAAAAUCCCCCAAUUUUAAGGAAGUUUUCCCUUUAUGAAUUUUUCACAGCCCCUGCUGUCCUGUUGAGAGCAUGCCAGUGCCAGACCUCUCACAAGGAGGGGGCAUCUCUGAGUUUGCGAAGAAAAUAUUAUAGAAACAUGAGGAAGAAAGGAGUAAAGUUGACCAAAUUAAAGGAUUUGCUCAGAUAUGAUACAAAUGCCAGAUGGAAGGAUGCGGAUGAAGAGGACAGGAAUAAUCAGUGUUUACAGCAGGGGAAGUGGUGAUGCUUGUGCUGCAUUGGACCCGGGUUCACCUGUGGAAUUAUAAGCCCUUCAACCAGCUCCUUCAGUUCAAUGAGAACAACCUUGGGGAAGCCUUGGGGUUUCAUCUUUCACAUCGUGGGCAUGGCCUGUGCUGAUAUCCUGGGGCUGGUGAGAGGGCCCAGAGCAGUAAUGGGAGCCACAAAUCUUUUUAAAGUGGUUCCCCACAAUGGGGAUAGAGCAGGAAUCGCAGGGAAGGUCAACCCAACCUGGGUCCUAGGAGAGCCUUCUCCUUGCAACUUGAAACUUGCCAAGUGCUCUCACUUCAAGGCACACAGACCUAAGAGGAUUAAGGUAAGUAUCCUCCUAAAAGCUUGAAAAAACAAAGAUUAGUUUUUAGCAUCACAAAGAAACCUGUAUUUAUAUGGGAUCUGAAGGAGAGGAAAUAUGUUAAGACUUUUGGAGUGGGGGUGGAGGUCAGGAGAGAGACUGUAGACAGAAAAGACAAAUCAUUCCUCAGCAAGAGCGAGAACAAUGUUUAGAAAGAAAUAGGUUGAAAUUGAGAUUUAGGCAAAAGCAACAAGACAUGUAAAACAAAACCUUAUUUAGUUUAACUUACUAACUGAGCAUUUGUGAUUGGACCAAACAGUGGAUUCUUUUUGUUUUUUUCCCACUGUGCAAGGGUGAUGAGGAUUAUUAGGAAUAAUUAAGUCAGCACUGCAAGGACUCGUCCAUCUUCAUGAAAAAAAAUAUAUAUUUCUUUCAAUAACUUCAAAAAUACUUUACUACAUAAUCACAGUGGAGUAAAUCACUUAAGCUCUUUUGAUCCUCAGUUUCCAAUGUAGUUUGAUUAAAUCGGUAUUUAAGAAAAAAAUUUUGGAGGUUGCAAAACCAUUGAAAAGUCUCAAGGAAUCCAUAAACCUCAGGAAAAUGCACUUACAUGCAAAAUUAUGCAUAGCAUUAUUUUGCACUGAAGAUAGAUUCCUCUCAUAUUGUCACCAAUAAGAUCAAUUUUCAACAACAUUUUGUCUCUUUCACUUUUUUUUCCCAGACAAAAAUGAAUGGCUACUUCAUCCUCUUUCAAAAGGAAGUAGAUAGCAAUUUCAUAAAUAAAAUAAAAAGAAAACUUUCA